rnacentral:lncRNA from 1 species
CAUGAUUGUAAGCUACUGUGCAUUGAUCCGCACGACCAAGCAUAUUAAGGUUCAUUCAUCCUCAGUACACUUAUACCCUACAACCUACUUAACAGUUAGUGGGAGGAAACUAUCCCAAAAGGUUAACGCACCUGCCAGCACUCAACCAGUCAGUCAGCAUUUUUUUGCGCCCAGGUGGAAUAGGGACAGAUUCUUUCGAUAAGGAAACAGUGCUGGUGUAACCUAGAGGUGUAGAGACAAUCAACUGAAUGCCAGUGUAGGUGCAAGACUAAUCACGACAGGUGUAUCUGGUGUAGGUUACACAAUUGGAGAAUUAAUCUAAAAAGAAAAAAGACGAGAUUUCUCAUUCGCGGUCAUCACAAUCAGAGGAAAGAGUGAAGAGCGGUUGGACAAGUUAUCCACUUACGUGAUAUUUGGAAGACGGUGACUAAGCAGCUACUUUAAGCUCAGUGCAGCUGGAGACUGAAAGGCAUGCUGAAGACCGUUUCACAAAGUACACCCACCAACCAGUAUGAGAAUGUGGGCACUGGUGUCCAGGGCUCCCCUGUUCUCACAACAAUUAGGAACCCCUUCACUGAAGCCAUGAAUGUACCGAAUAUGUCAGGUGUGAACACAGACAUGACAGAGACUGCCUCAUCUCAUUGGAAUACAGAUGUCUUCCCGACAGAUCCAUCCAAUCAGAGCGCAGAUAUCUUCCAGACAGACUCAUCCAAUCAGAACGCAGAUAUCUUCCAGACAGAUACAUCCAAUUGGAAGACGGAUGUCUUCCAGACAGAUUCAUCCAAUUGGAAUGCCGAUAUGUUCCAGACAGAUUCAUCCAAUUGGAAUGCAGAUAUCUUUCAGGCAGAUUCAUCCAAUCGGAAUGCAAAUAUCUUCCAGGCAGAUUCAUCCAAUUGGAAUGCAGAUAUCUUCCAGACAGAUUCAUCCAAUCGGAAUGCAGAUAUCUUCCAGGCAGAUUCAUCCAAUCGGAAUGCAGAUAUCUUCCAGGCCACCUCAUCUUAUGAGAACACAGACAUUUCCCAGACUGCCUCAUCCAGUAGGAAUAUAGCAGCUCUCUCCAGAGCUCCACCCACCAGUCCUCAGGUUGACCUUUUCCAACCUCUGCCAUUCAAUGUAGAGACACCGACCACAGAAAGCAGGUCCUCCAGUGCACCGUUUGAAAUUUUCCAAGAUCCACAAUCCAGCCAAGAAAAGGGCAUCUUCCAGAAACCAAAACCAGAAGUCCCAAAGAAACCAAACGCUCUCAAAUUACGUCUUCUUAAUGGCACUCCAUUUGGUCAAGGGACACCAUCUCCAGUCUCCUCCGUGUUGGCACAGCAGAUGGCCUCACCUGUGUCGGCCUCAUCUGUGUCGGCCUCACCUGUGUCGGCCUCACCUGUGUCGGCCUCCAGCUGGCGAGGGUUUUUCCAGGACACCCCCUCUGCAACAUCAGACACCUACCAGACUCCAUCCUCCACGAGAGACGACCUGUUUAACCCCCUACAAAACAAAUUCCAUGACCCCUCCUGGGCUACUUCCUCCUCUGACCUCUUCAAGACUCCUUCUGCCAGUUUCUCCCUUCAGUCUACACCCAUUUCUCAGGUCCUCUCCUCUGUCCAAACCUCACACACACCUGGCAACCCCUUCUAUCCCAUCCCCAAUGGGAAACCGAGCUUUGGGAAGACGGAGGAAGCUGGUGAAACUGCAACUGCAGAGAGAGAACUGAACGUCUUGCUCACCACACCAGAGGGUACCGAACAUGAUGUCUUUCAAAACACUCCGAUAGAUGUGAGAAAUUCAGCAUUCUCCUCUCCCUCUCAAGAAGUCGAAGCAUCCACAAGCACACCAUCUGAAUUCUACCGGUCCAAGCCUUUACCAAGAGUUCCUUCAAAAAAACCUGCAAGCACCAGGGCCCCUAUGAACACAGUGAAGCAGGAGAGUGUAUCACCGGUGGAACAGGAGUCCCCUUCAGAAGUGAACAUUGAAUUCACAGGCGAGGAGAGAUGUGUUGAGGACUGGCCAGAGGACAGCCCGCGAUUUUCCUCUAACUGGAGACCAUCUGGGACACUGAGGCUAAGGAGGGAGUCAAUAUUGGAAAAGGACGAUGGAAGCAACGGCGGAGACCGAAGUGGGAAGAAGAUGUUGAAAAAGCUGGCGUUGUCUAUUUCCACUCGUAGACGAUCAAAGGAUAAACUGUUAGAUGAUUUAAAACCUGGAGAUGGUCACAGUGUUCACCAGCGAUCUGAGCGGUCAGAUACCAGUUCCCCAGUCCAAGAACUGAAGGAGGGACUCCUUAUAGAUGUGUUCUCAUCAGAUAAUGGCGAAGAACAGAAUCCGGGAGAGGACUCCAAAUCAGUAGGCUAUUUACAGUGGCAUACCAAAGUUUGAAUACCUCUGUGCAAAUUAUGUCACGCUAUUUUGUUGGUGAUCUUUUUCUUAAAGUGAAAAUGAGUAGAUAAAAUCCCUGCAGCAAACGAAUGUUAAUUAGUAAAUCAGAAGCCAAUCUUACUUUUGUACAAUCUUACUUUACAUUUCAUCAGCAUAACCAUAAACAAACAAAAAAAACACAAGUAAAUAUUAGCAGUUUCUGUAGCAUGUGCCCAGG